UAUUGAGAGUUAUUAUAAUAGCAAUGUGUGGAUAUUGGGUUACAAGGAGCCCUUCCCAUAAGAAUUUCUCAUAAAUCACAAAGGACACCUAUACUAAUGGAUGUCCCAGAGUGUAUGGAUGAGGGGACAUGGAAAUGAUACAUUCUAAUGAUUUUUCUCUACUUCUGGAGGUGCUGGCAGAUACCUAAAUCAUAUCAACAAGAAGUUUAUGGAAAAGAGAACUACAAUCAUCAUAAACCCAAUCAUGUUUUACUUGGUGUUGAAGGACAUUAAAAAAUACCUCCCACCUUAAUUUACUAAAUUAUCAAACAAAUCCUGUUCCCCGAUCUCAGAAGACCACCUGGCUCAGUAUCACAAAGCACCCUGAUUUCUCCCUCAUCUUGAGAUGUCAGGAUCCCUCAGAAAACUUCGUAGAGGUGCCCUGGUGGUGGCAUGCACCAAGAUCAGAUUGUUCUACCUGAGUUAAAGAUGUUCCUCCUGUUGCCUUUUGUGAAGCAGGAGAGAAUCAGAGCACCAGUGGAACAACAGCAGUGAGAAGCUCAUCAGCUUCACGAACUGACCACAGACCAAUCAGUGAAUUCCUGUCCUGCUUUCACUUUGCUUUCCGUGCUAUGUGGAAAUAAGAGCUCUCCUCAUGGGUCCAGUGUGAGGAACAGAUAGCAAGCACUGAUUGGGUGGAACCAGCCAAAGGUCAUUAUCUGAUAAAGUGGAUGGAAGUUCCAAAGAAGAGGACAGGGACUGUAAACUCUGGGCUAUUCUUUAUUCUGCAACAUUGAUUAAAAGUUGCUGUGACAGGCUCUGCCCUAGGGCUCCAGGAUACAGUGAAUAACACAGAUGUGGUGCCUACCCUCAUGAAGGUUACCUUCCAUUCAGGGAAGAGGGAUUGUCUCCUGGCUUGAUUCAGCUCUUCAGGCCCUGGAGAUGAAGUUCUGUGUCAGGCACCAAGCAUCUGUAUGCGGUAGGCAGCUGGAGGUCACUCUCUUGAUCACCUCUUGUGUGGACAAGUUUUCUUACAAGCAGAAGCCCAUCCCCAGGCAUCCUCUAGUGCUGACUGACGAGAUAGGAGCAAAACUCAUGCAACCUGCCUUUCAGAUGCAAAUAGAACAUUCCUAAGUCCUUUGAGGCACUCUGCCAAUGUG
rnacentral:lncRNA from 1 species